AUUGAACGCUGGCGGCAGGCCUAACACAUGCAAGUCGAACGAGUGGCGGACGGGUGAGUAAUGUCUGGGACACUGCCUGAUGGAGGGGGACAACUACUGGUAACGGUAGCUAAUACCGCAUACCAUCAGAUGUGCCCAGAUGGGAUUAGCUAGUUGGUGGGGUAACGGCUCACCAAGGCGACGAUCCCUAGCUGGUCUGAGAGGACGACCAGCCACACUGGAACUGAGACACGGUCCAGACUCCUACGGGAGGCAGCAGUGGGGAAUUUUGCACAAUGGGCGCAAGCCUGAUGCAGCCAUGCCGCGUGUAUGAAGAAGGCCUUCGGGUUGUAAAGUACUUUCAGCGGGGAGGCGUUACCCGCAGAAGAAGCACCGGCUAACUACGUGCCAGCAGCCGCGGUAAUUC
rnacentral:rRNA from 1 species